AUUGAACGCUGGCGGCAGGCCUAACACAUGCAAGUCGAGCGGAUGAAGGGAGCUUGCUCCUGGAUUCAGCGGCGGACGGGUGAGUAAUGCCUAGGAAUCUGCCUGGUAGUGGGGGAUAACGUCCGGAAACGGGCGCUAAUACCGCAUACGUCCUGAGGGAGAAAGUGGGGGAUCUUCGGACCUCACGCUAUCAGAUGAGCCUAGGUCGGAUUAGCUAGUUGGUGGGGUAAAGGCCUACCAAGGCGACGAUCCGUAACUGGUCUGAGAGGAUGAUCAGUCACACUGGAACGGAGACACGGUCCAGACUCCUACGGGAGGCAGCAGUGGGGAAUAUUGGACAAUGGGCGAAAGCCUGAUCCAGCCAUGCCACGUGUGUGAAGAAGGUCUUCGGAUUGUAAAGCACUUUAAGUUGGGAGGAAGGGCAGUAAGUUAAUACCUUGCUGUUUUGACGUUACCAACAGAAUAAGCACCGGCUAACUUCGUG
rnacentral:rRNA from 1 species